rnacentral:rRNA from 1 species
AUAUUGUACAAUGGGGGCAACCCUGAUCCAGCAAUGCAAUGUGUGUGUAGAAGGCCCUAGGGUUGUAAAUCACUUUAGUUGGGGUGGAAAGCCUCAAGGUUAAUAGCCUUGGGGGAGGACGUUUCCCAAAGAAUAAGCACCGGCUAUCUCCGUGCCAGCAGCCGCGGUAAUACGGGUGGUGCAAUCGUUAAUCGGAAUUACUGGGCGUAAAGGGUCUGUAGGUGGUUUGU